rnacentral:rRNA from 1 species
UGCCAGACUCCUACGGGAGGCAGCAGUGGGGAAUAUUGCACAAUGGGGGAAACCCUGAUGCAGCGACGCCGCGUGAGCGAUGAAGUAUUUCGGUAUGUAAAGCUCUCUCAGCAGGGAAGAAAAUGACGGUACCUGACUAAGAAGCCCCGGCUAACUACGUGCCAGCAGCCGCGGUAAUACGUAGGGGGCAAGCGUUAUCCGGAUUUACUGGGUGUAAAGGGAGCGUAGACGGCUGUGCAAGCCAGAUGUGAAAGCCCGGGGCUCAACCCCGGGACUGCAUUUGGAACUGUGUGGCUGGAGUGUCGGAGAGGCAGGCGGAAUUCCUAGUGUAGCGGUGAAAUGCGUAGAUAUUAGGAGGAACACCAGUGGCGAAGGCGGCCUGCUGGACGAUGACUGACGUUGAGGCUCGAAAGCGUGGGGAGCAAACAGGAUUAGAUACCCCUGUA